UACGUAGGGGGCUAGCGUUGUCCGGAAUCAUUGGGCGUAAAGCGCGUGUAGGCGGUUCGGUAAGUCCGCUGUGAAAGUCGGGGGCUCAACCCUCGGAUGCCGGUGGAUACUGUCGAGCUUGAGUACGGAAGAGGCGAGUGGAAUUCCUGGUGUAGCGGUGAAAUGCGCAGAUAUCAGGAAGAACACCAAUGGCGAAGGCAGCUCUCUGGGACGGUACUGACGCUGAGACGCGAAAGCGUGGGGAGCGAACAGG
rnacentral:rRNA from 1 species